GAUGAACGCUAGCGGCAGGCUUAAUACAUGCAAGUCGAGGGGCAGCAGGGGUAGCAAUACCCGCUGGCGACCGGCAAACGGGUGCGGAACACGUACACAACCUUCCUUUAAGUGGGGGAUAGCCCAGAGAAAUUUGGAUUAAUACCCCGUAAUAUUAUUUAGUGGCAUCAUUUAGGUAAUUAAAGCUCCGGCGCUUAGAGAUGGGUGUGCGGCUGAUUAGGUAGUUGGUGAGGGUAACGGCCCACCAAGCCUUCGAUCAGUAACUGGUGUGAGAGCACGACCAGUCACACGGGCACUGA
rnacentral:rRNA from 1 species